UAGUCUAAAGACAAAAUUUGUCUAUGUAGACCAGGCUGACUUGACAUGGAAUUCACUAUAUAGUCCAUGUUGACCUUGAUGUGGAGAUGUGAUCCUCCUGCCUCUACCUCUCAAAUGCUGAGAUUAUAUGUGUGCAUCAAUAUGUAUACUCAUUUAUAAAGAACAGAAAGAGCUAGGGUUUGAGCCUAGGUUCUUUUCUUCUAGGAACCUAAUUCUUAACCGUUAUGCCAUACAAUCUUUUUCUCACCCAAAGUAUAAUUAAAACAAAUGAAGAGAGAACUGAAGAAUAUAGCUAGAUUAAAAAACAUAAUCCAUAGCUGAAGACAAAAGUGAGGGCUGGUAAAGGACAAAAGAUUAAGUAUACACCCCUGUGAGGUGUCCACAUCUCUAAGGACUUAAGCGUUGAAAUCAAUGUAUGAUAGGCCGACAGAAAUAAAAUUAACGACUCAUCUGUAAAAACAAUUAGGGGACAUGUAGAAUGAACUUGAGCAAUCUUAAGGUGCACAUAUGUUCUAAGGAAGUAUGACUUUUCUCAAUUAUUUCAAAUGUGUAUAUCUGCAUGUAUUUUGAAAUAGAAAUAUACUAACAGCAAUUAUCAACAAUGGUGGGGAUGACUAAUUUAUAAAAUGUUAUAUAAAUAAAUAAAUACAGCACAUUCUGGCUGAAUUUAUGUAGGAAAAUUUAAGUAAAAAAAUAUUAGAACUAUGGUCGUUUUCCUCAAUUUAAUUAACGAAUUAAUGUGUAUUAUGUGAAAUCAUGAUCUACUUAUUGAAAAUGUAUAUUUCAAAUAGUUUUAGAAAAUACAAUAGUUUUAAGUGUUAUUUUUAUAAAGCAUUACCAGCUACAGUGGUACGUACCUACAGUCUCAGCACUCAGUAGGUUAUGACAGAAAGAUUAGAAGUUCAAGGCCAGCCAGGGCAACACAGUAUAAUCCUUUCUUUUUAAAAACAACCAUAGAAUAUUUAAACUAGACUAGUAUUUGAUAUUUGAUGAGCAUUUAAUGACUUUGACAUUUAAGUCAUGCUAAUUUCUACUAACAAAGAUAUUUCCAUAUAUAGAACCUUGUUCCCUUUCUACCACAUGGUCCACUUUAAGCAAUUAAUCAUUAUUAAAAAAUCUCUACUUACAACUUACAAAAGAAAUAAUGAUCAUUUGGGUUAUAUGUUAUAGACUUAUAUGAGAACUAUAAAAUUAUAAUUUACAUUGGCACAAAGACAUAUUUUCCUAUUUGUAUCUUCCAUGUAUGUGUAUGGCAUUUAUUGUCUACUGUCUUUUUUUUUUUUUUUUUUUUUUUACAAUCAGAGUGGCAUUUAUAAUACUGAAGUAUGUGAGGCUGUAAAUGGCAUUUGCAUUCACCUGAGACAUCAACUCUGCUUCUCCAUUUAAUCGCUGGCUAGAGAUAUUUAUUGCUUUGUGUACUGUUCUUCCAUAAAGAGUAAUACCUCAGCAGGACAUUUUCCCCUUCUGGUGAAGAUGAGAAAAUGAGAUGCACUUUACAGAAGUAAACCAGUCUCACCUUGACUAAGUAUGAAAUUUGGGGGAAAAAAUGAAUAUGAGUACUGAAAACAAAAUCAGAUGAGUGAAAUCAUCAAAUUCAUUUUACUUCAUGUCAUUUAGCAAACCCCCAAAUGUACAAAUAUGUAAAGAAACUGUUACUUCAUUUCUUAAUGGAAUAGUAUUACAAUUACCUGACUUUACUGUUUUCUCUUAAAGGUGUUUAAAUUAAAAAAAAAAUAGGCAAAAUUGUGCCAAUCUGCAAUUCCUGGACUUGAGAGACCAAGGCAAAGAGAUUUAAUGCCCUAAGCUUGUCUGGGCUACACAAAGAAACGCUGUCAAACAAGCAACAAAAAAGUGCGUGAAAUGUUCAUAGAGAAAUAUUUAUAAUAACAGAAUCAAGACAAAUGAAAUAUUUAACUACUGAAAAAUAUAUAAGUACAAAUAUAUAAGUAAGUAAAAAUAUAUAAGUACAAAAUGUGGCUUAUCCAAUAGAAUAUUAUUUAGCAGCAAAAAUGAAUGAAGUGAUAAUACAUAUUAUAGCUGUGAACCUCAAAAAAAUGUCAAUUGAAAGAAGCUACUGAUUAGAAUGGAUAUAAUAUAACUCUUUUUAUCUGAAAUAUUCAUCUAGGCAAAUCCAUUGGGAUGGAAAAGAGAGUGUUUGCCUGAGGUAUUGCUAUAGGGUGCCAAGAUGGAUACCAAAGAGAGGCAAAUCUGGAGAUGAGAACUUUUCCUCUCCUAAGGGGUUCCACAGGAUGUAGUCACCACUGACAAAUUCUGAGAUCAAAUCUAAGGCCUGAUCAUGAUAGAAACAGUUCUACAAUUAAAGUCACAAAUAAAGAGCUUUAUCUACUUCCACCUUUGUUGCUGUCCCUACUUGCCAGACAUGUCUACUAAUGUAAAUCUUAAAGAG